CCUACGGGAGGCAGCAGUGAGGAAUAUUGGUCAAUGGGCGCGAGCCUGAACCAGCCAUGUCGCGUGAAGGAUGACUGCUCUAUGGGUUGUAAACUUCUUUUAUAAAGGGAUAAACCGAGGUACGUGUAUUUUUCUGUAUGUACUUUAUGAAUAAGGAUCGGCUAACUCCGUGCCAGCAGCCGCGGUAAUACGGAGGAUCCGAGCGUUAUCCGGAUUUAUUGGGUUUAAAGGGAGCGUAGGUGGAUUGUUAAGUCAGAUGUGAAAUGUGGCGGCUCAACCGGAAAAUUGCAACUGAUACUGGUGACCUUGAGAGCAGAUGAGGUAGGCGGAA
rnacentral:rRNA from 1 species